CUCGCUUCAGAGAGAAUUUGCUUUCUGUCUAUCAACAAUAUUGUGCACCAUUGUUUCCUUCUUCAUACGUGUUGAGAGCCAGACUGGAAGUAAUCCAAGCAGCUUCAGUUUUGCCUGAAGUAGCAAAAGAGCGAGGCAACUUUGCCGUUAUUUUGCCCCUUCAGCGCGGUGCUCAUUACUUCUUCUUCGUGUACUGGGAACAGUGUUUCAAUAAGAGCUCACUGCCUGCACAAAAGGUCCCCUGGGUUACACGCAGGUUCAGAACGACCCAGCUUUGGCAUUUUACGUGGAUACUCAGCGCCUGACAAUGCUGUGGGUGGCUCGUUAUUCUCAGCGGACGCAUUAAGGAAACAAAACACCAUAUGAAGCCUGACUGCGGUCAGGACUGCUUUCAGGGAAUGCGUUUAGGCACUUGUUCCUGCCAGAGCAAAACUGCACGAAGGCUGCGCUCCCUUGGACUCGCUUUUCUUCAGCCAUCUCUAAUCCUUCACCUUGGGAAUGCAUGACAGAGUUGAUUAAUAAAUCGAAAAUAAGAAUAAAAAAUGAAUACUGA
rnacentral:lncRNA from 1 species